CCCGUCCUCUCCUGUCCCAUCCCUUUCCGUCCCCUCCCGCUGCCCCCUCCUGUCUCACAUCAUCCAUUCCUAUUCUUUCCCACCUCCUCCCAGUCCAUCCUGUCAUGUCCUUUCCAGUCUUGUCCUGCUCCAUUCUGUCUCUCCCACCACGCCCUGUCCCAUCCAUGCCCUCCUGUCCCACCCCCUCCAUGCUGUCUCUUCAUGCCCCAGCCCAUCCCACUCCAUCCACACCGUCUGAUCCCAUCCGAUCCCAUCCUCUCCCAUCCCAUUCCAUGCUGUGUGUCCAGUCUCGUCCCAUGCAGUCCCACCCUCUCCAUCCCACAUCUUGUCCCAUCACAUCCCAUUCUGUCCAUGUCUCAUCCAGUUCCAUCCCAUCUCAUUCCAUUCAUCCUGCCCCACUGUAUCCUACUGUAUCCCAUCUGCCCUGUGCCAUCCCAUCCUGUUCCAUCCCAUCCCUCCCGGUUCUAGCUCAUCCGUCUGGUCCCACCCCAUUCCAUUCCAUCCCCGUCUCAUCUCCCCAGUCCCAUCCCUGCCUGCUCUGGCACAGCCCCGCCACACUUUGGGGGGGAAGUCACCGAACACAGGGAAGGGCAGGAAACCCUUUAGUUUAUGGGAAAAGGGAGAGGACAAGUGGGAUGGGUCACCCCGGCUUGGGAGGUACAGGGGUGUGACAGCAGGUGGGGACCCCCAGUUAGGGACAUCCUGUCCAGGCCCCUCUGGGGCUGUCCCAGGGAUCCACAGCCUCUGUCCAGGGCUGACCCAUCGGCAGGGGACACCAGGAGCAGCUCUGGGAUGGAGGGGGUCCCUCCCUGGGGUUUGUACAUCCCAGUGCAUCUGGGGACACUGGGCUGCAGGGCAGCUCCUGGCACAGGGAGUGCCUGACCCUGGCUGUGGGACGCCCCACGCUGUCCCUAUGGAGAUGGGUGUGAUCACCAGGUGUAUUUAUUCCCAGGAGUGGACUGAGCAGGAUGGGGACACAGCCGUGUCCAUGGAGUCCGUGCGCCUGUGCCCUGGGCUCCAGCCACGUGCGUGCACACAGAGCACACGUGUGACCAGAGCAGGACACUCGCGUGGCCUCACCGUGCACUCAGGGCCGUGCUCGGCCUCACCAUUGGCAUCACCUGCCCUUCCCAGCCUGGAUCCCACAGGAUGCUCCUUCCCUGAGCUCUUUUCCCUCCCCCUCCUCCUCCCCACCAUCUCCGUGCCCGCAUGGGGCAGCCCCAUCCCACAGGGUGGGCAUUCACCCGGGGUCACUCAGAGCAUGGGGGGAUUCCCCUGGGGUCACUCAGAGUGUGGGGGGAUUCACACUGGGUCACUUGCUCUGUCUCCCCAGGCACCAGGCAUGGAUUGGGAUGGCUGAGGGGCUCCGGCACUCCCCGGUCUCUGGGCUCCAAGUGCCACAUGCCCACGGUGGUUCUGACCUAUGAGCUGCCCUCUCCACCUCCCACACCAGGUCCCAAGCUGGAACAACCCCUGAGCCUUGCUGAAGGUCUCUGGUGGGGAGAGGGAACUGUCUCCGUGUCCUGGGCUCUGGCAGGGAAGAGCCUGGGGAAUGCUGGGCUGAGGGGGAGCCUGGAAGGGAAGUGCCCCCAGUGUGUGGCACCAGCUGGGCACCCUUUGAGGUCCCUUCCAGCCCAGGCCGUUCCAUGAUUCCAUGGUCCCAGCUCCAUGGCCACAGCCACCAGCGUUUCUCCCUCUCCCUCAUCCUGGGCAUGGGAUGCCCCGGCUCCAUCCCACCCCAGAUCCAGGGACUCCUCAGCCAUCCACAGCCCUGUUAGUCUGUGGCACAGGCUGACUCCCAGAGCACAAACCCAAAAUCUGCUUCCAGCCGUAGGAGCAAAGUCAAAAACACAAAUCCCAAGUGCCAGAUGCAGCAUCCCAGAGCAGCCUCGUUUGCCAGGCCUGGCUCUCCAGAUGCUCAGCUUGGCUUGUGCUGUUCACCUGUUCCACAAUUACUUGGAAAAGCUCCCGAGUAACAGCCAGGAGCAGGAUGAGGGAGCUGCAGGUACCAGUACACGGAAUUCAGAAUGGAAACACUGUAUUGACAGACUUUACAAAAGUUGUUACAAAACACGGUCACGAACCAGCAGCUGACGAUACAGAGCGAAGAGACACCACGUACAGCCAUCUCAGAACAACACCAACAGCUCCAGAAGUCAUCCAAUAUUUACACAAACAGCUGGAAAACUCUGGGCGGUUAUCGCAUACAUGGAAGUGUUUUAGAGCAACUGUGAAAUAUAGUGUCACACCUUU